rnacentral:rRNA from 1 species
CAGUCGCCGCGGUAAUACAGAGGGUGCGAGCGUUAAUCGGAUUUACUGGGCGUAAAGCGUGCGUAGGCGGCUUCUUAAGUUGGAUGUGAAAUCCCUGAGCUUAACUUAGGAAUUGCAUUCGAUACUGGGAAGCUAGAGUAUGGGAGAGGAUGGUAGAAUUCCAGGUGUAGCGGUGAAAUGCGUAGAGAUCUGGAGGAAUACCGAUGGCGAAGGCAGCCAUCUGGCCUAAUACUGACGCUGAGGUACGAAAGCAUGGGGAGCAAACAGGAUUAGAUACCCCUGUAGUCCCUGUCUCUUAUAC